UACGGAGGGUGCGAGCGUUGUCCGGAAUCACUGGGCGUAAAGGGCGCGUAGGCGGCGCGAGCAGUCGAUCGUGAAAGUCCGGAGCUCAACUCCGGAUCGGCGGUCGAUACUCUCGUGCUUGAGCACUGUAGAGGCAGAUGGAAUUCCGGGUGUAGCGGUGGAAUGCGUAGAGAUCCGGAAGAACACCGGUGGCGAAGGCGGUCUGCUGGGCAGUUGCUGACGCUGAUGCGCGAAAGCGUGGGGAGCGAACAGG
rnacentral:rRNA from 1 species